UAUCAUAUGAAAUUAAAGUUU
rnacentral:piRNA from 1 species